rnacentral:rRNA from 1 species
AACGAGCGCUGGCGGCAUGCCUAACACAUGCAAGUCGAACGAGACCUUCGGGUCUAGUGGCGCACGGGUGCGUAACGCGGGGGAACCUGCCCUUAGGUUCGGAAUAACUCCCCGAAAGGGGUGCUAAUACCGGAUAAUGUCUUCGGACCAAAGAUUUAUCGCCUUUGGCUGGGCCCGCGUUAGCUUAGCUAGUUGGUAGGGUAAAAGCCUGCCAAGGCGACGAUCCAUAGCUGGUCUGAGAGGAUGAUCAGGCACACUGGGGCUGCGACACGGCCCAGUCUGGGACGGGGGGGAGGAGUGUGGAAUAUUGGACACUGGGCGAAAGCCUGAUACAGCAGUGCCGCGGAAGAGGUGCAGGCGUUAGUGUUGUAAAGUUGUCUUUCCCGGGAUGAGAAUGACGGUACCGGGUGAAUAAGCUCCGGCUAACUCCGUG